CCCUUGAGUCUGGGCCGCACGCGCGCUACACUGACAGAGCCAGCGAGUCUACCACCUUUGCCGGAAGGCAUGGGUAAUCUUGUGAAACUCUGUCGUGAUGGGGAUAGAACAUUGCAAUUAUUGUUCUUCAACGAGGAAUACCUAGUAAGCGUGAUUCAUCAGAUCGCGUUGAUUACGUCCCUGCCCUUUGUACACACCGCCCGUCGCUACUACCGAUUGAAUGGCUUAGUGAGGCCUCCGGAUUGGCUAUUGGGAGCUCGCGAGAGCACCCGACUGCCGAGAAGUUGUACGAACUUGGUCAUUUAGAGGAAGUAAAAGUCGUAACAAGGUUUCCGUAGGUGAACCUGCGGAAGGAUCAUUAGUGAAUAUAGGACGUCCAACUUAACUUGGAGUCCGAACUCUCACUUUCUAACCCUGUGCACUUGUUUGGGAUAGUAACUCUCGCAAGAGAGCGAACUCCUAUUCACUUAUAAACACAAAGUCUAUGAAUGUAUUAAAUUUUAUAACAAAAUAAAACUUUCAACAACGGAUCUCUUGGCUCUCGCAUCGAUGAAGAACGCAGCGAAAUGCGAUAAGUAAUGUGAAUUGCAGAAUUCAGUGAAUCAUCGAAUCUUUGAACGCACCUUGCGCUCCAUGGUAUUCCGUGGAGCAUGCCUGUUUGAGUGUCAUGAAUACUUCAACCCUCCUCUUUCUUAAUGAUUGAAGAAGUGUUUGGUUUCUGAGCGCUGCUGGCCUUUCGGUCUAGCUCGUUCGUAAUGCAUUAGCAUCCGCAAUCGAACUUCGGAUGGCUUGGCGUAAUAAACUAUUCCCUGAGGAAUUCUAGUCUUCGGAUAAAACCGGGUUGGGGUUAAAGGAACUUCUAAUCAGAAUGUCUACCUUUUAAAAUAAAUCUCAAACCGG
rnacentral:rRNA from 1 species